UUGGAGGGCAAGUCUGGUGCCAGCAGCCGCGGUAAUUCCAGCUCCAAUAGCGUAUAUUAAAGUUGUUGCAGUUAAAAAGCUCGUAGUUGAAUUUCGGGAUCAGUACGUUGGUCGUGCCUUAGGUACGUACUGGUGUUACUGGUUCCUACCUUCUGACGAACCAUCAUGUCAUUCAUUUGGUGUGGCGGGGAAUCAGGACUGUUACUUUGAAAAAAUUAGAGUGUUUAAAGCAGGCUCGCGCUUGAAUACAUUAGCAUGGAAUAAUGAAAUAGGACGUUGAUCCUAUUUUGUUGGUUUCUAGGAUUGACGUAAUGAUUAAUAGGGAUAGUUGGGGGCAUUAGUAUUCAAUUGUCAGAGGUGAAAUUCUUGGAUUUAUUGAAGACUAACUACUGCGAAAGCAUUUGCCAAGGAUGUUUUCAUUAAUCAAGAACGAAAGUUAGGGGAUCGAAGACGGUCAGAUACCGUCGUAGUCCUAACCAUAAACUAUGCCGACUAGGGAUCGGAUGAUGUUAUUUUUAAUGACUCAUUCGGCGCCUUACGGGAAAC
rnacentral:rRNA from 1 species